rnacentral:rRNA from 1 species
AACGAACGCUGGCGGCAGGCCUAACACAUGCAAGUCGAGCGGACAUCUUCGGAUGUUAGCGGCGGACGGGUGCGUAACGCGUGGGAACGUGCCCUUUGCUUCGAAUUGCCCUCGGAAAACUGGGGUUAAUCCCGGUGUUACCCUUUGGGGGAAAGAUUAAUCGGCAAAGGAUCGGCCCGCGUUGGAUUAGGUAGUUGGUGGGGUAAUGGCCUACCAAGCCGACGAUCCAUAGCUGGUUUGAGAGGAUGAUCAGCCACACUGGGACUGAGACACGGCCCAGACUCCUACGGGAAGCAGCAGUGGGGAAUCUUAGACAAUGGGGGAAACCCUGAUCGAGCCAUGCCGCGUGAGCGAUGAAGGCCUUAGGGUUGUAAAGCUCUUUCACCGGGGAAGAUAAUGACGGUACCCGGAGAAGAAGCCCCGGCUAACUCCGUG